UACGGGGGGGGCAAGCGUUGUUCGGAAUUACUGGGCGUAAAGGGCUCGUAGGUGGCCAACUAAGUCAGACGUGAAAUCCCUCAGCUUAACUGGGGAACUGCGUCUGAUACUGGAUGGCUUGAGUUUGGGAGAGGGAUGCGGAAUUCCAGGUGUAGCGGUGAAAUGCGUAGAUAUCUGGAGGAACACCGGUGGCGAAGGCGGCAUCCUGGACUGGUACUGACGCUCAGGAGCGAAAGCGUGGGGAGCGAUCCGG
rnacentral:rRNA from 1 species